CGUCCCGUAUCCGGGCGUUGACUAAGUCAAAGUCAAAGUCAACGGCGGUGGAGUCAAAGUCAAUAUGAGGCGUCGCCUAGUUGGAGAGGCGCCAAGGGGAAGCGUCGCCAAGGCAAGGCGUGGCCUAGGUGAAGGCGUCGCCCAACCAGGGCGUCGUCAGAUCAAACAAUGCUAAAGUAAGGUAAUCACGGUGUGGUUCCCCGAUACCCAUGGGUAGGAAAGACCAUGGAGGGAGCGACGCCGUGGGAAGGCCUCAGGUCCCAAUAGCACGGGGCAAUGAUAAA
rnacentral:lncRNA from 1 species